GGGAGGGGAAUGCAUCGUCCGAUUUGUUGGAGGUCUUUUUGCUGCGCCAUUUUGUCCACACGCCUUGAGCUCGGUGAUUGGGUUUUGUGAUUCGGUACUGGAGCCAAUCAGAGGGGAAUCGGGCGGCGGAGAAUCGAACAUUGGUGGACGGCAGUGAGCAGAUCCAGGGAGCCAUCAUGGAACAGUACACCACAACCACCACCACCAGCGGGGAGCAGAUUGUGGUGCAGGCAGCCAGCGGACAGAUCCAGCAGCAGGGCACUGUGACCGCGGUCCAGCUGCAGACCGAUGCUCAGGUGGCCCCCGCCUCGGGCCAGCAGGUUCAGACGCUCCAGGUAGUGCAGGGGCAACCCCUCAUGGUGCAGGUGAGUGGUGGCCAGCUCAUCACCUCGUCUGGACAGCCAAUCAUGGUGCAGGCCAUGCCGGGGAGCCAGGGGCAGACCAUCAUGCAGGUCCCAGUGUCCGGAGCACAGGGUCUUCAGCAGAUUCAGCUGGUGCAGCCAGGGCAGAUCCAGAUCCAGGGGGGCCAGGCGCUGCAGGUCCAGGGGCAGCAGGGCCAGACCCAGCAGAUCAUCAUCCAGCAGCCCCAGACCGCCGUCACGGCCGGGCAGAACCAGGGUCAGCAGCAGAUUACUGUACAGGGUCAGCAGGUGGCGCAGACUGCAGAGGGGCAGACUAUUGUGUACCAGCCAGUCAACGCUGAUGGAACCAUCCUGCAGCAAGGAAUGAUCACUAUCCCGGCUGCCAGUCUGGCAGGGGCCCAGAUCGUACAGGCGGGCUCCAACACCAACACCACCAACAGUGGCCCAGGAACCGUGACCGUUACCCUGCCAGUGUCCGGCAACAUGGUCAACGCUGGCGGGAUGGUCAUGAUGGUGCCGGGCAGCGGGACGGUGCCCACCAUGCAGAGGAUACCGCUGCCAGGGGCAGAGAUGCUGGAGGAGGAGCCGCUCUACGUCAACGCCAAGCAGUACAACCGCAUCCUGAAGAGGAGGCAGGCCCGCGCCAAGCUGGAGGCCGAGGGCAAGAUCCCCAAGGAGAGGAGGAAAUACCUGCACGAGUCGCGACACCGGCACGCCAUGCAGCGGAAACGGGGUGACGGGGGGCGCUUCUUCUCGCCCAAGGAGAAGGAGGAGAUGGCGCUGGCCAUGCAGGUGAGGAUGCUGCAGGGAGGCCUAAAGCAGGAGGAGGGCUUUAGGGGAGUGGACCUCAACUCCCAUUGGCCCCCUACACCUGCCCCGCCACUGGGGUAGCCAGCCCCAGCGCUCCACCCCCCAAACUGUGCUGCUGUGACCCUGAAUCUAAACUCUUAUUUCCGUGCAUCUUAAACAUCCCCCAGGGCUGUGUGCUGUUACUGCUGAUUGUACUGCCAUCGAUAUGUUUAUUAUUUUAUACUAUUGUGUUUUUGCUCUUGCGCGGGUUUGUUUGGAAAUGUAAGGGGAGAUUGAAGUUGUGUUGAGCAAUGGCGUAAAUGCACUGAGAGCCAGCGAGCGGCUCGCUGAGCUGCUGAGAUCCCGGCCUGGUUCCCCUCGCCCACGAACCUCGUUCAGGCCCGCAAUCCCAUGGUGCCUUGCGUCAGUCUCGGUGUCUUGUGAUUGGUAUUGUUACAUGAGCGGUGUGUUCAAUAAGCUUGUUCAGUGUUGUCUAAUUCAAGGACAGAGGUGCUAUUCACCUAGCAAUUUCCAUUGAAAUGUUGUAGUUCACAGUGCUAAACAGAAGCUGUUUUCUCCUACAUGGCUUCAUUUAACCGAAUGUGCGUCAGGCAGAGAACGGCCAUUCAUGGCAAUGUUACUACUACUCUCCUAACUACUAAAUUAUUAAUUAUUAUCGUUAAUUACCUGUACCUAUGUAGUGUCCUGCAGUCCUAUCAGCAGAAGAAUUGAGUACUUUGAGUCAUAAACAUGUACUCUUAAAUAGUGUUCUAUAUCAUUGGGCACACAGUAUUGCUGUAAGUUUCAAAGUCACAAGGAACUGUUUACUUAAGGAAUAGGGUAGUGUUCGGUUAGGCUCAUCACUAGCGAUCACUGUGUUUGUCUUGUGCCAUAUAACGCCCAUCAUUCACUUGUGUACACCUCUGCAGCAAGCAGUCGGGGGGGGGGGGGGGUGUCUCCAGUAUGUUCCUGUUCUUGGGUUACUGGCUCCUGUACACUGUGUGAAUGUUUCAGGUUUUUCCCCCCUCGCUGUGUUGUCACUGCUUACUGCUGCUGUCUUGUGCUGUGCCCUGCUGUAAACCUCUCUAACACUGUGUUUAUUAAACAGAUGCAGGGCUAGGAUAUAAGGGGUGGUUUCAAAGAACCAGGAGGCAGCCCAGGCUGGUGAAGAGAAUGUGGCCCAGAUGAUUCGCGUGUCGUAACAAGCAGCCCCCCGUUGUGCGUGCGUGUGUGUAUUUUUCGGGUCGCCUCACACGCCCCAGCCCUGCAUCUCAAGCCAUCGCUACUCAGACCUGUUUUCCAGAGCGGAGGGCCCAUCUUCACCUGAUCUAGGAGGACCUGAGCUCCUCGGUCUUCAGUCUGAAAGACCCUGAUCCUGCAAGCCUGAGCACAGUGUGUAUAUUCCAUUUCCCUUCCUGUCACUGUGGAAUGUAACAGGAAAUUAUGUCAUUAGCAUAUUCUAAGGGGAAAAAAUGUAAAUGUGAAAUAUGAGAAUGACAUUUUUGUCUUUUUUUUUUUUCCUAAAUAUUCUUCAUGUAACACUUUAAUCCUCAAGCUUUGUGUAUAUGUAUGUACACUGAUGCAUACAUGCAUAUAUCAUAGUUUUUGUGUGAUCGAGCAAGCACUUAACCCAAAUUCUGGACCCCAAGCCCUGACACUGAAUCCUUGUUGAAAACUGGAUCUAAACCGAGUGUUGGGAUGGAUAGAUGACAUAUAGUAUUUGUGUAAUAAUAUGUAAAAAUGUGUAUUUAACUGCCUUGAUUUCGUCUUGGCAGAUCCAAAACAAAAUGUAUCUUGUUUGAAUUCUCUACAACAGAACAACAACGAUGGUGUUCUCUGUUCAUGUUUUCUGUUUCUCUUAAAGUUAUCAAUUUCUGUAAAUUGCUACAAAGUGAACCAUUGCACUUCUAAUUUCUAUGCUGGGCUACAGCAGUUUUAGUUCUUUACAGGGGUGGAGUUCUUUUCAUCUGACCUUUUAAAAUCCCUUGACAUUGGUCAUAUUGGGUAGAUGUUGAAAUGGUGCCAGAUUGCAUGGCAACUGUGACAUUGAAAAUUUGUCUUGCUGUUAAAUAGUUUCUCUUUGGAAAAUUGUCCAUUUUGUUUGACAUUUACAUUUAUAUUAAAUUAAUUUGUUUUGAUCAUUAAUUUUAAUUUCAGCAACUCAUAAUGUAGUCUUGUACAUGGACAUUAUACAGGGGACUUGCUCAUUAUUAUGUCGGACUGGAGCUGCAGAAACUCAGAAUCCAUUUGGGUUUCACCGCUAGUGUCUCCCACAGCUCAAGUGCAUUGACACCCAGUAAUGGAAAGCGUAUCCUGUAUAGGAACAGAACACUAGGGCUGAUUGCAUAUAACAGAACAAAACCCAUGAAAUGCCUGUAUACCAUACAUUCAUUUGAUCCGUGUUCUUUACUGGAAUAUUUAAGAACCUUUAAACGGCAAUAAGCAUUUUAUUUAUAUUUUAUUUAUUCUUUUUUCUCUUUUUUUUUUUUUUUUUUUGCCUGAUGACAGCCAACCAACAUUUGACUUUAUUGAAUUGCAUUUUACACAUCACACACAAAUUUGAUGGAAUUUGGAGAGUAGGGGUGACAUAUUGCCUGUAUUUUAUAUUUUGACUGUCCUCAACUCCAUUUAAGUAAUCCAGUAGAACACCUGAGAUUUCCACCAGCCUCUUUUAUAAAAUGUGUUCCAUUUUUAAGGUUACCGGCAUUUGUGAAUAAAUGCAUAUUAAUUUAGAAUAUGUCAGAUGUUAAGGUGUUUAUUGCAGUAGUGGUCAUUGUUGUACUCUGAUUUAGAUAAUUGCAAUACUUUAAGGGCUGUUGCAUGUAGAGAUUUUUACAUUAUUUGGGAUAAGAUUGCAUAGAACAAGCCUUCUUUUGGGGGGUUAUUUUGUACAUAUACCUUUUAUAUAUUGUAUUGUUUUUUUCUCAUGCAUGAACCAUUUCAUAGGUAGUUUAGGACUAUCUAGCCAUUAAACUGAUUUUAAUUUGUAUGCAUUUUGUUUGUUGUCACCAAAAUGUGUUAUGGAUAAAAAUGUAUCCAUAUACUAGAAACGUUGUACUUGUGUUAAUAAAAUUAGUAGCAGUUAUA